rnacentral:misc_RNA from 1 species
GAUGAAGAACGCAGCGAAAUGCGAUAAGUAAUGUGAAUUGCAGAAUCCAGUGAAUCAUCGAAUCUUUGAACGCACAUUGCGCCCGCCAGUAUUCUGGCGGGCAUGCCUGUUCGAGCGUCAUUUCAACCAUCAAGCCCUGCUUGCGUUGGGGUCCUGCGGCUGCCCGCAGGCCCUGAAAACCAGUGGCGGGCUCGCUAGUCACACCGAGCGCAGUAAUACAUCUCGCUUUGGGCGUGCGGCGGGUUCUUGCCGUUAAACACCCCCUUUUUACCAAGGUUGACCUCGGAUCAGGUAGGAAUACCCGCUGAACUUAAGCAUAUCAAUAAGCGGAGGA